rnacentral:rRNA from 1 species
UACAGGGGGGGGCAAGCGUUGUUCGGAAUUACUGGGCGUAAAGGGUUUGUAGGUGGCCACUUAAGUCAGACGUGAAAUCCCUCAGCUUAACUGGGGAACUGCGUGUGAUACUGGAUGGCUUGGAUUUGGGAGAGGGAUGCGGAAUUCCAGGUGUAGCGGUGAAAUGCGUAGAUAUCUGGAGGAACACCUAUGGCGAAGGCAGCUCGCUGGGACGUUACUGACGCUGAGACGCGAAAGCGUGGGGAGCAAACAGG